rnacentral:rRNA from 1 species
UACGGAGGGUGCAAACGUUGCUCGGAAUUAUUGGGCGUAAAGCGCACAUAGGCGGUCGUUUAAGUCGGGUGUGAAAGCCCUCGGCUCAACCGAGGAAGUGCACACGAAACUGAACGGCUCGAGUACGGAAGAGGGUCUCGGAAUUCCCGGUGUAGAGGUGGAAUUCGUAGAUAUCGGGGGGAUCACCAGUGGGGAAGGCGGAGACCUGGGCAGAUACUGACGCUGAGGUGCGAAAGCGUGGGGAGUAAACAGG